rnacentral:rRNA from 1 species
AGAUUAAGUUAUUAAGGGCGCACGGUGGAUGCCUUGGCACUAGAAGCCGAUGAAGGA